rnacentral:rRNA from 1 species
GACGAACCGUGCGAACGUUGUUCGGAAUCACUGGGCUUGAAGGGCGCGUAGGCGGGCCACCAAGUCCGGGGUGAAAUACCUCGGCUCAACCGAGGAAUUGCCUGGGAUACUGGUGGUCUCGAGGGAGGUAGGGGUCGAUGGAACUUCCGGUGGAGCGGUGAAAUGCGUAGAUAUCGGAAGGAACGCCGGUGGCGAAAGCGAUCGACUGGACCUCUUCUGACGCUGAGGCGCGAAAGCCAGGGGAGCGAACGGG